rnacentral:rRNA from 1 species
UACGAAGGGGGCUAGCGUUGUUCGGAUUUACUGGGCGUAAAGCGCACGUAGGCGGAUCGUUAAGUCGGGGGGUGAAAUCCUGGAGCUCAACUCCAGAACUGCCUUGAUACUGAAGAUCUUGAGUUCGGGAGAGGUGAGUGGAACUGCGAGUGUAGAGGUGAAAUUCGUAGAUAUUCGCAAAGAACACCAGUGGCGAAGGCGGCUCACUGGCCCGAUACUGACGCUGAGGCACGAAAGCGUGGGGAGCAAACAGGG